rnacentral:rRNA from 1 species
GACGAACCGUGCGAACGUUAUUCGGAAUCACUGGGCUUAAAGGGUGCGUAGGCUGCGAGGAGGGUGGGGUGUGAAAUCCCUCGGCCUAACCGAGGAAUUGCGCUCCAAACCGCCUUGCUGGAGUGAGACAGAGGUGAGCGGAACUAAUGGUGGAGCGGUGAAAUGCGUUGAUAUCAUUAGGAACACCAGAGGCGAAGGCGGCUCACUGGGUCUCAACUGACGCUGAUGCACGAAAGCGUGGGGAGCAAACAGG